ensembl:lncRNA
UCUUGUUCCAGCCUACCCAGGAUCUCCAACCUUCCAUAUCAUCUGUUUCUGACAUCCAAGCAUCAACAUCAUCACAGCUCAAUGAUCCAGGAUCACCUGAAGCUGAUGAUCCUCCUUCUGAUGUAUCAUCAGAAGGUCAACAUUAGCCUAGCAUGACAUCACAAUGCCUAUGUCAUUCACCUCACUUCAUCUCAUCAUGUAGACAUUUUAUCAUCUCACAUCAUCACAAGAAGAAAGGCAUGGUACUAUAAUUUUGAAAGAGAGUCAGAGAGAAAGAGGGGGUCCACAUUCACAUAACUUUUAUUACAACCUACCAGUCCUGGAUGAACCUGUCAAUCAAAAAAUAUUGCCUGCUGUGUCAGUUAACCAAGGAUGUUGCAGCCCUCAAGCCACCUCAGACUGACAGUGAGCCCUGAGAGAACUCAGGGUGGAAUCAAGAGGACUGCCAAGCCCUCAGCCCCUGCAGCCACGCCCUCGACAAUGGUGCACCCUGAAGAGACUCAGGAUGGGAAAGGAAAGCACAGGAUACUGCACCUGGAUAGCUGAGCAUUGGCAGGCGGGUUCUUUACCACUAAGUCCACCUGGAAAACCCUCAUGGAAGAUCACAGACCCAUUAAAGGGAUAAAGAGCCCUCCCAGUGUGUUAGGGCUUAGACCUGUCCUGAAGAACUUCACUUAUUCUUGACCCAAAGGCGAUAGGACACAUCGUGGUGAAAAGGUGGGUGAGAUAUCUGAACUAAGUGGAAACAUUCUGGUCUUUUUGGCGAAGAAAUUCAUCACAAUAAACCUGCAGUAGAUUACAAAGGGUACAUGGAAGGAGGCGGAUGUCCUCCGGGAUGCCGCAGGAAGACUGGCUGAGACUCAAAUGCUAAUAGCCCCACUGAUGAGCAUGGACAACAUGAUUACACAGGGACUGCAAGGCCAAGUUGUGCACUCUCUCCCCAGCUGGCAGAAGCAGGCUUCCUGGAACAGCUCCCUCCUACCUCCCAGCCUCUCUGCACUUAAAAAAACUUCCGGGAAUCUUACUUCCUGCCUUAAGCAUUUUCAGACAAAAUGAAUGGAUUGGGAAGUCGCCCCUCACACAAAUCUCAGUGCCUUACCUUCCAG